GCCUGUUCGAGCGUCAUUAUGACCAAUCAAGCUCUGCUUGGCCUUGGGGCCCGCUGUACCGGCGGCUCCUAAAACCAGUGGCGGUGCGUCUGGCUCUAAGCGUAGUAAUUUUCUCGCUAUAGAGUUCCGGUGGUUACUUGCCAUAACCCCCCACUUCUUAGGUUGACCUCGGAUCAGGUAGGGAUACCCGCUGAACUUAA
rnacentral:misc_RNA from 1 species